UUCGUAGACGGUAUUGUAAGUUAAUUGUUAAAUACUAAAGCUUAACUUUAGAAAAAAGCAUUUAAAACUAUUAUACUAGAGUUUUAAACAGAAGAGUAGAAUUUUAUGAGUAAGGAUAAAAUCUGAAAAUACAUAAAGGAAUAUCAGUAGUGAAAGCGACUCUUUAGUAAAAACUGACGUUGAGGGACGAAAGUGUAGGGAGCAAACA
rnacentral:rRNA from 1 species